AGUGAACGCUGGCGGCAGGCCUAACACAUGCAAGUCGAACGGCAGCACAGCAGUAGCAAUACUGUGGGUGGCGAGUGGCGGACGGGUGAGGAAUACAUCGGAAUCUGCCUUAUCGUGGGGGAUAACGUAGGGAAACUUACGCUAAUACCGCAUACGACCUACGGGUGAAAGCGGAGGACCUUCGGGCUUCGCGCGAUAAGAUGAGCCGAUGUCGGAUUAGCUAGUUGGCGGGGUAAAGGCCCACCAAGGGGACGAUCCGUAGCUGGUCUGAGGGGAUGAGCAGCGACAAUGGAAAUGAGACACGGUCAAGAAUGGUAGGGGAGGGAGCAGUGGGGAAUAUUGGACAGUGGGCGCAAGCCUGAUCCAGCCAUGCCGCGUGGGUGAAGAAGGCCUUCGGGUUGUAAAGCCCUUUUGUCCGGAAAGAAAAGCAUCGGGCUAAUACCUCGGUGUUCUGACGGUACCGGAAGAAUAAGCACCGGCUAACUUCGUGCCAGCCGCCACCGUAAUAC
rnacentral:rRNA from 1 species